rnacentral:rRNA from 1 species
CCCUUAGACACUCUAGGCGGCACGCGCGCUACACUGGGUGGAAGAACGUGUUACUGCCAUCGAAAGGUGGGGUGAAUCACGAAUUCUUGCCCGUGAAUGGGAUAGUUUGUUGCAAUUUUCGGACUUGAACUAGGAAUCCCUUGUAAGCAUGCUCAAGAAUAGCGUGUUGAAUACGUCCCUGCCGUUUGUACACACCGCCCGUCGUUUCUUCCGACUGAUACUCAUUGUGAGUUGCAAGGACCCUUCAUUGGAGAAUUGCCGCGAAUGCUUUGUAUUGGAGGAAGAAAAAGUCGUAACA